rnacentral:rRNA from 1 species
CGCGAACCAUCGAGUCUUUGAACGCAAGUUGCGCCCGAGGCCACCCGGCCGAGGGGACGCCUGCCUGGGCGUCA